rnacentral:rRNA from 1 species
UACAGAGGUCUCAAGCGUUGUUCGGAAUCACUGGGCGUAAAGGGUGCGCAGGUGGCGUGGAAAGUCAGAUGUGAAAGCCCGGGGCUCAACCUCGGAAUAGCAUCCGAUACUCCCAUGCUAGAGUACUGAAGAGGUGACUAGAAUUCUCGGUGUAGCAGUGAAAUGCGUAGAUAUCGAGAGGAACACCAACGGCGAAGGCAGGUCACUGGGCAGUUACUGACACUGAGGCACGAAGGCCAGGGGAGCAAACGGG